rnacentral:rRNA from 1 species
UACGUAGGGUCCGAGCGUUGUCCGGAAUUAUUGGGCGUAAAGGGCUCGUAGGCGGUUUGUCGCGUCGGGAGUGAAAACUCAGGGCUCAACCCUGAGCGUGCUUCCGAUACGGGCAGACUAGGAGUAUGCAGGGGAGAACGGAAUUCCUGGUGUAGGCGGUAGGAAUGCGCAGAUAUCAGGAGGAACACCAGUGGCGAAGGCGACUACCUGGCCUGUUCUUGACGCUGAGGCGCGAAAGCUAGGGGAGCAAACGGG